UACUAGCAGUCAGAACCACCUAUUGAUGACUGACCCUGCACUUCCAAGCUGGAUGGAAAAAUUCUCCAAAAUCCCACCUGGACACUUAGUAGCCGUUGAGCCAGCACCGCCUUUGAUGAAGUUCUCCUUUGCUAUCAGUCCCCUUGCAAUAGUGAAUCUGUCAGCCAAGACAGGGAAGCCACAAGCAAAGGAGACAGGUACAGCUGCAUGGUGAAAUGUGUUCCCAGAGAUGUAUGGAUGGCCACGAACCUCCUUGUUCUCUGGGCUAAAUACAAAACUCGUUCCUUUGAUUUCGUACUUGCCUAAGACCCUCUCAUAUGCAACAAGCAAGUUGUUCUAGUAGCUGAAAGGGGGGAAAGUUGAUUUGUGUUUAAGUAUUUUGAUUGUGUUUUGCUAUGGUUGUGUGGAUUUUAUGCUUACCUAAACAACCAGAAAUAUUCAAAAAUAAAUACCCUGGUUAACCAAGUAAUUUAGUUAACACUUCAAGAAAGGUUUAAUAUAACUCCCACUUUUUGAGCAACACCUUUUUUUACAAGUUAAACAAGGCAGCUCAACUGAUUGGAAAGUGCACAAGGCCUAAAUCUAAGGACUACCUAAAAUCAUAUCACCCACAAGGUUACAUGGUGCAUAAGGCUGCUGGGAUAAUUAUCCAUCACCUGUCUGCUCCCUGCCAUUAGUGCCCAAUGGGCACUUUGUCCUGGGUACAGGUUAGGACACCAACCACACCCCACCUAUCCAAGAGACUGAGCACAGAGGGCUCCAGCCUUAUGAGUGGAGAGCAAACCUUCAGUGCUCUUGGGAGAGCAGCUGGAUGUUAAGGACUGAGCUGAGAUCUCACAGAAGUGGGCAGACGGACUAGGAUUAAAGGAAUUCUCUUCCAGACAGAUCAUCCUGAAGGAAUGAAAUACAUUGUUCAGGGGGAAUAAUUUCCUCCUUGGAAUGUGCAGGACUGCAGUGAAAACACAUCAUAGUUUUCAGAUGUCUUCAAGAAAGAGAACAUGCAAACAAUUUGUGCAGCAGAAGCUGCUGAUCAGAAGGUCACUGUCCUGUGCUGUGUUCUUGAAGAACCUCUGCACUGCUGUGGAACAUGACUAGCAGUUUGUUAAACUGGAGGGAUGAAGAAUGUAGCCAUAAAAAUCUGUUAUGCAUGACUUAUGAUUAUCUUCUUUAGUUAACAUGUGGCUUAUUUAUAUGCAUUUCAUCAGCCUAAAUUCUAAUUAAAAUGGAACAAUAAACUUUAACUUUUCAGUCAUAGUGUUCCUUCAACCUCUCUUUAACAGCAAUAUUUUAGGGAACGUGUUUGUGACUUCUCCAAGUUCUGGAUCUGUUCUCCUUGUUUAAGAAUUGGAGUGGAACUGACUAAAUAUUUGUAACCAAUAAAGAGUA